rnacentral:rRNA from 1 species
CCUACGGGUGGCUGCAGUGGGGAAUUUUGGACAAUGGGGGCAACCCUGAUCCAGCCAUGCCGCGUGAGUGAAGAAGGCCUUCGGGUUGUAAAGCUCUUUCAGACGGCAAGAAACGGUCACGGCGAAUACCCGUGACUAAUGACGGUACCGUAAGAAGAAGCACCGGCUAACUACGUGCCAGCAGCCGCGGUAAUACGUAGGGUGCGACCGUUAAUCGGCAUUACUGGGCCGGUUUCGUAAGCAAGCGGUGAAAUCCCCGGGCUUAACCUGGGAACUGCAUUUGUGACUGCGAGACUAGAGUGUAGCAGAGGGGGGUAGAAUUCCACGUGUAGCAGUGAAAUGCGUAGAGAUGUGGAGGAAUACCGAUGGCGAAGGCAGCCCCCUGGGCUAACACUGACGCUCAUGCACGAAAGCGUGGGGAGCAAACAGGAUUAGAUACCCGGGUAGUC